UACGAAGGGGGCUAGCGUUGUUCGGAUUUACUGGGCGUAAAGCGCACGUAGGCGGAUCGUUAAGUCGGGGGUGAAAUCCUGGAGCUCAACUCCAGAACUGCCUUCGAUACUGGCGAUCUUGAGUCCGGAAGAGGUGAGUGGAACUCCUAGUGUAGAGGUGGAAUUCGUAGAUAUCGAGAGGAACACCGGUGGCGAAGGCGGCCUUCUGGACGAGUGACUGACGCUGAGACGCGAAAGCGUGGGGAGCAAACAGG
rnacentral:rRNA from 1 species